rnacentral:rRNA from 1 species
GUCGAGCGGAUGAAGGGAGCUUGCUCCUGGAUUCUGCGGCGGACGGGUGAGUAAUGCCUAGGAAUCUGCCUGGUAGUGGGGGAUAACGUCCGGAAACGGGCGCUAAUACCGCAUAAGUCCUGAGGGAGAAAGUGGGGGAUCUUCGGACCUCACGCUAUCAGAUGAGCCUAGGUCGGAUUAGCUAGUUGGUGGGGUAAAGGCCUACCAAGGCGACGAUCCGUAACUGGUCUGAGAGGAUGAUCAGUCACACUGGAACUGAGACACGGUCCAGACUCCUACGGGAGGCAGCAGUGGGGAAUAUUGGACAAUGGGCGAAAGCCUGAUCCAGCCAUGCCGCGUGUGUGAAGAAGGUCUUCGGAUUGUAAAGCACUUUAAGUUGGGAGGAAGGGCAGUAAGUUAAUACCUUGCUGUUUUGACGUUACCAACAGAAUAAGCACCGGCUAACUUCGUGCCAGCAGCCGCGGUAAUACGAAGGGUGCAAGCGUUAAUCGGAAUUACUGGGCGUAAAGCGCGCGUAGGUGGUUCAGCAAGUUGGAUGUGAAAUCCCCGGGCUCAACCUGGGAACUGCAUCCAAAACUACUGAGCUAGAGUACGGUAGAGGGUGGUGGAAUUUCCUGUGUAGCGGUGAAAUGCGUAGAUAUAGGAAGGAACACCAGUGGCGAAGGCGACCACCUGGACUGAUACUGACACUGAGGUGCGAAAGCGUGGGGAGCCAACAGGAUUAGAUACCCUGGUAGUCCACGCCGUAACGAUGUCGACUAGCCCUUGGGAUCCUUGAGAUCUUAGUGGCGCAGCUAACGCGAUAAGUCGACCGCCUGGGGAGUACGGCCGCAAGGUUAAAACUCAAAUGAAUUGACGGGGGCCCGCACAAGCGGUGGAGCAUGUGGUUUAAUUCGAAGCAACGCGAAGAACCUUACCUGGCCUUGACAUGCUGAGAACUUUCCAGAGAUGGAUUGGUGCCUUCGGGAACUCAGACACAGGUGCUGCAUGGCUGUCGUCAGCUCGUGUCGUGAGAUGUUGGGUUAAGUCCCGUAACGAGCGCAACCCUUGUCCUUAGUUACCAGCACCUCGGGUGGGCACUCUAAGGAGACUGCCGGUGACAAACCGGAGGAAGGUGGGGAUGACGUCAAGUCAUCAUGGCCCUUACGGCCAGGGCUACACACGUGCUACAAUGGUCGGUACAAAGGGUUGCCAAGCCGCGAGGUGGAGCUAAUCCCAUAAAACCGAUCGUAGUCCGGAUCGCAGUCUGCAACUCGACUGCGUGAAGUCGGAAUCGUUUGUAAUCGUGAAUCAGAAUGUCACGGUGAAUACGUUCCCGGGCCUGCUACACACCGCCCGUCACACCAUGGGAGUGGGUUGCUCCCGAAGUAGAUUGUUUAUCCGCAAG